CACCGUGUUUCAUUGUUCUCCACAACAAAUUGAAUUCAAUUAAGUUUUAUUGAGGAACCUAGCUUGUGAAAAACAUUGCUUGAAUGUAAAUUCAUUGCUUUUAGAUAUCAAGCCUGUUAGAGAAGUACCCCAGAAUAACCUCAAUCUCUUUUAGAUAUCAAGCCUGUUAGAGAAGUACCCCAGAAUAACCUCAAUCUCUUUUAGAUAUCAAGCCUGUUAGAGAAGUACCCCAGAAUAACCUCAAUCUCUUUUAGAUAUCAAGCCUGUUAGAGAAGUACCCCAGAAUAACCUCAAUCUCUUUUAGAUAUCAAGCCUGUUAGAGAAGUACCCCAGAAUAACCUCAAUCUCUUUUAGAUAUCAAGCCUGUUAGAGAAGUACCCCAGAAUAACCUCAAUCUCUUUUAGAUAUCAAGCCUGUUAGAGAAGUACCCCAGAAUAACCUCAAUCUCUUUUAGAUAUCAAGCCUGUUAGAGAAGUACCCCAGAAUAACCUCAAUCUCUUUUAGAUAUCAAGCCUGUUAGAGAAGUACCCCAGAAUAACCUCAAUCUCUUUUAGAUAUCAAGCCUGUUAGAGAAGUACCCCAGAAUAACCUCAAUCUCUUUUAGAUAUCAAGCCUGUUAGAGAAGUACCCCAGAAUAACCUCAAUCUCUUUUAGAUAUCAAGCCUGUUAGAGAAGUACCCCAGAAUAACCUCGGUCUCAAGCAGUUGGUUCUACAAGUCAUCAGGGGGACCUGGUAUCCGAUGGCUACUCUGGGGGAAUCCUGCGAUUGGCCUGAAGUGGUGGAAAGACCAUUGUCUACAUUGAAAAAAUCGACACAAGUCCUCUCCCACCAGAUGCACCCAAGUUUGCUAGAAUGCCCAAGGGAAAUUGCCACAAGUGUGGUAAACUAAUGCCUCUACAGCUGCUGACAGUCCAUGUACAGUCCUGUGGGUCUGCAGGUCACGGUAAGGCUGGGGACUGGUGUACAAAGCAGUGGUAUUGUUGUUAUUGACUUCACCAGGCUUAUGUUGACUGACACUAACUUUUGUCAGACACUGUUGCGCAUCCUUACAGGAGCCAGACAAGGAUCUCAGUAUUGCCGGAGUGGCAGAGAUGGAACCUGAUGAAAUCUGAUGGAAUGGAUUGUAGAGUGGUAAGUUAAAUACAUCGCUGUCACUUCAUUAUUAACUGCGUCCAAGAGUAAAGCUUAACCCUGGUUGACCAAUCUGAUCUUGCGAGCUCACAUUGUUGAGACGUUGUAUGGGCCCCAUCAGUCUGCUCUGAUAAACUAUGGGGUUAGGCAUGAUUGACUAACUGCUGGCUGACCAGUGGCGCUCUCGUGCACUUCAUUAGUCACUUCAUUAGUCAUUAGUCACUUCAUUAGUCAUUGUUCUUAAUGGAAGUUGUGAUUUCAUUUGGCAACGCUACUAGUCUCCACAUGGUUUCAAGCACAGAGGCCAGACUGACAAAUUAUGCGCAAUAAACUGUGAGCGGAGUGGUCAGUCUGGUUUACCAGGCCAAGUAAAGCUGUGUAUUUCACUAUUAACUAUACCCCCGAUAGGUACAGGCAUCGUGUCCCAUCUGUCUGAAAAUGUAUCCCGUCGCAAACCUUGAGGCUCGUGACAGUUAUUUGUGAGAGAUAAUGUAUGGCAUCAUCACACACAAGAUAGUGUUUAUUGAAAGGCAAAUUUUCCCUUAUAAUGACAGACUUGUUUUUAAUGUAGAACCGAAGUGCAAGAUGGACUCCACGUGCAAGUGAUAUCAUGGUAAGAUGAUAAGAAAGUCAUAAAGGGAUUACAAGAAUUUUGAGACAUUUCCGGGAUUCAAUGGCUAGAAUGAGCACUCACCCACAAGAGAUGUAAUUACGGGAGAAAUUACCCUCAGUGCCAGAAGGUAUAUCGCACAGGAGGUGGGGAAUAUCUCCCCAUCACUAGUGGGUGAGUGGUGCAUUUUACAGCUAUGACAACACACUGCUGUGUCUGGCUUUUGCGAGAUUGUAAGCAGGAUAGUUUUAAUUUCAGUGUCGGUGGCGUGUUGCGCUGCAUCAGUCAGUCAGUACAGACAGAUAGUUCCGGAUCAGUGUCAGCAGAGAGAAUCUCCUUCAACAAGUCGAGUGGCACAGCGGUCUAAGGCACUGCAUCUCAGUGCUUGAGGCGUCACUACAGACACACUGGUUCAAAUCCAGGCUGUAUCACAACCGGCCCGUGAUUGGGAGUCCCAUAGGGCGGCGCACAAUUGGCCCAGCGUCAUCUGGCUUUGGCCGGUGUAGGCUGUCGUUGUAAAUAAGAAUUUAUUCUUAACUGACUUGCCUAGCUAAAUAAAGGUCACAUUUAAAAAAUUGAUUAACACUUUUUUUUUUUUAAAUGGAAGCGGCAGAAAAAAAGCUUGCCAGCUAGAAUCUUGAAGGUCACCUACCUGACAGAACACCAGAGCCCUCAAAGAGUUCCUAACGAAUGUUAGUGCCAAUGAUGAUCGUCCCAUUUGAUCGAUAAUGGCACUUAAAAAAAUGAAAGGGUGUGUUGUCUGUAUUCAUUGAAUGUAUUCAUAUGAUGUGUUGUAUGUAUUCAUUGAACAUAGAUGGGCAGGACCACUCAAAUUGCUUCUUUUAAAUAAGCUACUCCCUGUGGUUUGAUUGUCUACCUCCAGAUAUUAUCACAGAGAUCAGGGAGUGCCUUUUUGACGGCUUUUCCUGCCAAUUAGUGUCCCCCUCCACGUCACAAUGGGAGUCGAUAAACUAUUAGUGUCCGUUGCUAUACCAACGGUGUGAAUACCUAAUGAUUAGAAUGUUGGACGUCAUUACAACCUAAAUGACGUUCUUUUCAUCAUCGUUAUGUAAAAGGCUGAUUUCCGUGACAAUGUCGGUGUUUAAACAAGUUUUGUUUAGUUAAUCAAAUUCAAACUACUUUUGGGUACCUUGUUAAAACAUUACAACAUAAAAUCCAUGUCUUAAACAUGGCUACGUUUCGGAAAUGGAAAAGAAAACGUGUCAUCUGCUUGACAUAUUAAAGUUAUUUACCUUACAGAUCGCGAAGUCAGUUAAUUUCCACUCCAUUCAUAUGCAAAUCCAUUUGAUUCAUACACUGGCUUGUCUGGCUGUCUUGUUUAUAUUUUAAGCUGCCCUUACCUUAUCUACACUGAAAUAAUAUAAUUUCAGUAGUCCUCUAUUAUGAUUCAUUUUUGUUCUAUCUCUCAUAGCUCAUUAGCACUCCCCUUGUGGUUGAAUAUAUGUAUCUAUUGUAGGUCCUACGAUACAACAAUUAAUCAUGUGGAAAAAUAAACACCUUCAAAGGAUACCUUACAACUUACAAUAAUGAACACCUUGUGAAACAGCUGUGAAAACCAACCUGGCAAUAUUUAAGAUUUUAAUACAUAAACGUUGGUCGUUUUUUGGUACAGUUGUGUCAUUCAUUUAUUUUCACAGAUUUGUUGUGUACUCACAUGGCAAUCAUAGACUAAAAUACUGACCUCUGGUGUGUGGAAUACAGAGGAGGUGGUUGCUGUGUGGGUGGGAGGUUCUGGCUGUCCCUUGUUCUCAACAGGCAUCCAGUCUCAGAAGGGGGACUUGAAGAGGAUGACUGCAAAGUUCAGGCACUGCUGCUCUCUUUGUUCUGAGUGUUUGCAGUGCUCGUGUUUUUAGUUCAUCUGUGUAUCUCACAUUAUGUGCCCAGUGUGAUAAUUCUCUUUCUUAGCAGAUAAUGACAACAUGACAAUAACAGUAGAUGAUGUAAUUAAAAGUUGGAGGGUGGUUGGAAAUGGAGGACAUCAGGUGGAUCCACGUCUGGGUGUUGGGCAGACCCCCUAGGUCCUGGAGAACAGGAGCAGAGUUAAAGGGAACAGGGUAGGAGACAGAGACGUAAACAAGCAAACACACAGGUUACAGUUUACUGUGAUAAACUUUGAUGGAUUAGUGCAGUGUUAGAAGUGGGAGAUAUGUACUUUAACACUUUUUGAAGAUAUAGCCUACCUCAAACUGGUCCCCCUCCGACUCAGAGCACAGAGAAUAAGACUGAUCAGAAUUCACUGGUUCUGGUGGAUGGGAUACCUCCCGGGUACUCAGACAGUCGGUGUUCCUGAAGUCAUUUGGAGGUAAAUUGAAGAGGUACCUUUUUAUAAGCUCAGCAUAACUACCAUUUCUUGCUUUCUCAAAUGUCAACCAAAGCUUAACAUACUUUGUCUCAUGGGCUUCACCGUAGUGUAGAACGUCAGUGCUUCCAGUGGUCGACAGUUCAACUGCUCCAACUGUAGAAGAUUGUUGGCUUCCACCGAGGUAACCCUAGGAAGACAAAGAGAAAAAUAUCACUGUUAGGGAAACUAAAACAAGCUUCAGGUUAUUUUGUGUGCAAAUGCAAAUAGUUAUUAUAUUCACCUUAACAGAUAGUGACCCCAGCUAGGAGCGAAAGAGCAGCAAGGUUUCUCAGGUCUCGCCUUCCUUUCGUCCUUCUAGCAAACCAAGUCAUUUGCCCGGAUGUCAAAGCACUUGGUUUCCUUCUUGAUUCUGCUCCGGUACCUCUCCUUCUGUUUCUCCUGCGCCUUGUCCAUGUUCAGUCUCACCUUGAUUGAUGACAGGAAUACAUGCAAUUAUAUUUCAUAUUACAAAUACAUUUCUUACAUAUCUCUUGGAGGGCCAGAAAAUAAAUACACACCGGACAAUUUUUACCUGGUCAAAAACCUCCACAUCCUUCUCAGUCCGUGCCUGAAGGUGAUCCUCGAAGACGUUCUGAUCUGCUUCUUCAACUUCCACCACAUCAGGUGGAGUUUCAGUGACCUGAAAGUACGUUAUACAAAAUAGCAAUAGACAAACACUAGUCAAGCACACAUUUGAAAGACUACAGUAUAUGUAAUAAUUGUAAAUACAAUUGCAUUGUUUACCUCAGUCUUCAGCUGCAGCUCCUGUCCGUACUCGGGGGUAGGAAAGCCAUGUCUAUUGACAAUGUAAGAUUUUGAAAUAUGUCUGAUUAUGUACCAUGGAAAAAAUAAAAAUGUUUUACGAAAGAAAUAAAACAAACCCUUGGUGACAGAAUAUAACCUAAAACAUC